rnacentral:rRNA from 1 species
UACAGAGGUCUCAAGCGUUGUUCGGAUUCAUUGGGCGUAAAGGGUGCGUAGGCGGCGCGGUAAGUCGGAUGUGAAAUCUCGGGGCUUAACUCCGAAACUGCAUUCGAUACUGCCGUGCUUGAGGACUGGAGAGGAGACUGGAAUUUACGGUGUAGCGGUGAAAUGCGUAGAUAUCGUAAGGAAGACCAGUGGCGAAGGCGGGUCUCUGGACAGUUCCUGACGCUGAGGCGCGAAAGCUAGGGUAGCAAACGGG